GCAAACUUGGUCAUUUAGAGGAAGUAAAAGUCGUAACAAGGUAACCGUAGGUGAACCUGCGGUUGGAUCAUUACUAAAUGAGUUCAUUGCUUGGCUCCCAUUUGUAAAUAGAAUGGUUGUAGCCUUGCAUUGAUUUCAAACCAACGUGCACAAUACUGUCCUUGGGAGAGCAGUCUUGUUGUAAAGCGAGACAGCCUCCCGCCAUUUAAACUUUUAGUCUGAAUUGAUUCAUACGAAUCGAAAUACAACUUUUGGCAACGGAUCUCUAGGCUCUCGCAUCGAUGAAGAACGCAGC
rnacentral:misc_RNA from 1 species